rnacentral:rRNA from 1 species
UACAGAGGUCUCGAGCGUUAGGCGGAAUCACUGGGCUUAAAGCGUGUGUAGGUGGAUCGGUAAGUACCUUGUGAAAUCCCACAGCUUAACUGUGGAACUGCUUGGUAUACUGCCAGUCUUGAGCCAGCUAGGGGCUACCGGAACAAAUGGUGGAGCGGUGAAAUGCGUAGAUAUCGUCUGGAACGCCAAAGGUGAAAACAGACUGCUGGGGCUGUGCUGACGCUGAGACACGAAAGCCAGGGGAGCGAACGGG